AUGCUCUAGAGCCCAGGCUCUGAAACAAGAGCAGCCUCCACACUGAGCUUGAGCACCACACUGAAGAGGAGCCCCUGCUCGCCGCAACUAAAGUCCGUGCACAGCCAAAGAUAUAUAAAUGAAAUGUCUAAAAAAUAGAGGCUUGCUUUUCCCCUGUAACAAAACAUUUAGAGGCAAUCACUUCUGAGGUUGACUUGCUUAAUCCAGGGUCUCUCCCUUUCUCCUAGUCUUACCCUCAAGGUUGCAAGACAGCUGCAUGUGUUCCAGGCACCACAUCUCCACUGAAGGCAAGAAGGGGAAGAGGUGGUGGUCUUCUACGUCUCUUCUAACAGGAAAAAAAAGGCUUCCCAGAAACACGUGCCAGCGGACUCUGCCUUGCAUUCUGUUGACCAGCUCUGCCACAUGGCCACCCCCUGCAAGACGCUCUCAUUCCUCACUUUCUGCUCUAGGAGGGGUCAAGACAGAAGCCUCUCCCCUGGGUGUACCCAGCCGUGCUUCCUGCUCCAGCCUGCGUCCAUCAGCUGCAGCUCCAGGCUCCGAUAGCAGCUUCAGCAGGAUGGCGAGUGACCUCCUGCACAAACCGCCUUCAUCUCCAUCACCUGCAUCUCCCAAGAGGCAGCUAGUUUGCCAAAGGUACCAGGAAGCUCACCUCCAGAAGGCUUGCCCAGUACUAAUUCUGAUGCACAGGCAGCUCCCAACACUUCAGGUUUCUGUAAAGCCCCAAAGCCAGCACAAGAUGAUUUAAUUACCACGUGAAUGAGUCAAAAAACAGAUGCGAGGUUUCCAGAAAUGCCUGCAAGUGCUUAGUAAGUAGCCACAAUUGAUAGAGAAAUUGCAAAGACACGCUGGAAACAAAGGCUGGCUCAAGGCACAGUCACAGCCCGAAAAGUGCUGUCAACAGAGGGGUACUCCUACCCACUAACCCCCACCCCCACCCCAGUCCUGUUAAAUGCAGAGAGCUGGGAAAUCGUCUGUAAUAGUCUGGCCCACGUGAACUGCAAUUAGCAGCAACAAGCACCACCCACAGACUCCCCGGGAACGUGCUCAUGGUUAAUCGAUUCGAUUGAUCACUGUUUAUUAAGCAAAAACCUGCUUUCUAAACUGUUCUUCCCUAAAUGGUGUUUUUGUUUUUGUUUUUUUCCCCAGUCUGCUAGAAAAUAGGAGACUAAUUAGAGCUUUUAAUUUAAAUCCAAGCAGGGAGAUGCGAGCAUGUACUACGGGAAAAGCAUUAGGAGGCGGGGAGGAGAUGAGGAGCCCCGCCCCCAGCUCCCCAGAGCAGCAACGGUAGCGCUAACACGCUCCCAUAAAGACCUCCCGAAUCCGCAUUUCACUCUUCAGAUCAAGAAGCCACUGGGACCAGGUCAGACGAGAGCAUCAGGAAGGCAGCCCACUGAUAAUAUAGAUUAUGGGAGUGUUUGGGUCGCACCAGUGCUGUGAAAUUGAUCGGCUCCAUUCAGCACCUUGCGAAUCAACAGAGGAAAUCAAUGGUUGGCAGACGGUGAGGAGGCAUCACUGGGAAGUCAAAGUGCAACCCUGAAGGGAGCUGGAAAGGAAGCAAGCAGGACACCUCCGGGCUUUGCUGGAAGGAAGAUGCUCCCUGGUGCCAAGGAACAGCAGGACGUAGUCACUUCCGCCUUGUGGGAAGCAUCUUCAUCUCAGACCUCAGCCAGGCAAAAGAACUUUAAAAGCAGCCUUUCCAUAAUCAUAAUUAAGGAUGGUGCAAACAGGUAGUUGCAGGGCGUUCACCCCAACGUGGUUGGAAAUAUUGAAAAUCUGGAAACAACCUAUAUCGUCCAACAGAAGUCAGUUAUACAGAUCUUCCACACAAUGACGUACUAAAUUAUCAUUUCUAAAAGCACAGGAGAGAAAAAAAGAUACUGCUGCUGAAAUGAUAACUUGCUUAAAUUUAAUAAACAAUUUUUAAAAAUAAGAGAAUGACCUUAAAAGAUGCUCAAGAUGCCACGUAAGUGGAGAGCAGAUUGCCAGAUGGCAAAAUCAGUGCCUGCUGUAGACCAACAUGCUGAUGUUGCUACUUCUGGGAUGAGAUCAUGGAAGAGACCCCUCUCUUUUUAGUUCCUCUGUAUUUUCUAACUUGCACAGCAUCUGUAUUUAUUAGGUACACAUUGCUGUAUAUUUUAAACCUAUGUAAUCAUAUUAUCCUUUUAAUGAGUGAAGGGAGUAUGGCUGAUGCUUUGCCUUCAUCCUUCCUUCACCCCAACACAGCAGAGAAUUUCAGGGGCUGCAGUGCUGACCCAGCAGACAGCCUGGGUCAGAACACAGAGCUGAAGUGUCAGACAGGUUAUUAAUAAGUAAUCAGCAGCCGGCAUUUCUCAGAGCACUUUGGAAGAAAGCAG
ensembl:lncRNA